rnacentral:tRNA from 1 species
UGGGGCGUGGCCAAGUGGUAAGGCAACGGCUUUUGGUGCCGUCAUUCGCAGGUUCGAAUCCUGCCGCCCCAGCCA